AAACUGUCACGCCUUAACUCACAGCAAUUUGAGAAGCGGAGCCCGGAACCAGAUCUAGCUGGGUUUCAACUACAGGUGUCCCUGGAGUGGGAAGUGUCUACUGUGACUUGUUCAUGUCAAGCCAGAUCCUGAUGUUAGAAAGAGAUCCCAGAAUGCUAACAAGUUGAGAAUUCUUGGGUUUCCAACUUGAUGUGAAACAAGCACUCCUCUGAAACUGUGUUCAACACGUAGAGCUGGAGCACCAAAAUCAGUGGUCUUGAGUCACAAAUCUCCUGGGCUUUGGAAGACAUCGAUGACCCAGCAGCAUGCCUUAGGAGUGGUGGCAUGGUGGGGAGCUCAGGAGCCCAGGGCUUCUGACCUUUGGAGCCUGCCUGUUGAGGGUGCUAAUUCUCCUACUGCUCACCCCUCCUACUUGAUCCUUCAGCUCUUCACUUUUGGUUCUGAAUUGACUUCAGACUUACUCUGCUGUUUUGGCAGACUGAUCUUUCAAAGACUGAAGGGAAGAAGCACAGUCUUUGUAUGUCUCUGAAGCUUAUUGUUUGCAAGCUAAUUCCACGUGUGUUUUCCCUCGCAUGUAACCCUCACACCAAGCCCAAGGUGUAUCAUCAUUACACCGGUUUCACAGAUUAAAUAGUUGGUACUGGGGAGCAAAGGAAACAAGCAACCUUGGAAACUACACGAUGCUGUUUUACAAUUUUGUCUUUUGCUUGGGAAGUCACUGUUUCUUUGUCAGAACUAAAUGAAAAAAGCCCAGUAGCCUGCCAUUGAAACAGUGCAGAAUUUCUGCAUUUCAUUUGGCUUAUAGAAGAGGAUGUGAAAUGGAAGGGAGUGUAGCUAUACUCAUUUGUACAAUGGAAAACGCACUUAAAAGGACUUCUUUUCAUUGAUCACGUAAAUCAGCCAUGCUAUUGUGAUGCCUAGAGUUGGUUAAUUGGUCAAUGGCUCAGAGGAUAAAUAAAACUCCAGAAGCCUCUUCAUUAGAUUUGGGCAGAGAGAUAGCUUUUUCAAAGUCCAAUUUGCCUUUAGUAUUUAUUUCCUUCAUUAUAAAAAGCAAGGAAUGGAGCUAGUUAUGUAACGUCCCGAAGAGAACUGCAGACAAAGAUGGAUCAGCCUUUUGGCUACCCCAUUAGGGCAGAAGGCACAGGUCAGAGUCAAAGCAGGGACAGUUGAGCAUGUUCUUGGAGCCAUGUGAGGGUACCACCAAAU